GGUGAGGAAGGCAAAGGCCUUGCCUGCUGCGGCACUGCUGAUGUCAGGGAAGGAAUAGAGUUUCCCAGGCGGCCUUGGUUAGGGUCUCAGGCCACCCAAGCUGUGAGCGAGGCUGGGGGAGCGAACGGGACUGUCGAAAUGGACUUGGACCACGGCCACUGAACAACACGCAGGGUCGCAGACCCGGGGAACAAUGCCAGUGCAGCCGGAGAAUGUCACCAAAUGCCUGCUUCAUGACAGAGGAGGUCCUGAGGAGCUGAGUUAGGUCCUGGAAAAGUUUUGUCCCGCCACCGGGGACAAAAUGGCAUUGCUUUAUGUAUCACUAAUCCUUGGAGAGGCUCCUUAAAGAUGGAAGAGACGAGGGGAUCUACACACAGCCUGGGAUGCCCAGGCCUCACCGGGACGCACCGUGGUAGGAACGACGGUGAGAUGCCAGUGCUGGCCUCUUGCCUCUCUCCAAGAUCAACGAAGCUGGGCACUCAUGAAAGGGAGCCUGGCAUGAGCAGAAGUUCUGAACCCACUGGGCUGUGCAGUGGAGGAGCAGGUGGGCUUUCCACACAGAGCCUGGCCAGCAUGGAGCAGGGGCAAAGGGAGACUCAUGCUCUUCAUUCUGGGGACUGCAGACAGUUUGGCAGAGGCCAGGCAGGCCCAGAUGGGAGGAGAUCUGGCUGCCAGGCUGAGGAGUUUGGACUUGGAAAUUUAAAAGCCCUUCAGGAAGCCUCUGCAGAAGACUGGCCUGUCAUUGGCAAUUAAAAGAAAAAAAAUCGACCACAGUGCAAGGCAAGGAGUGGCCUUUGGUAGAGGCCGGGCAGGAUCCAGGUCGUGUGGCUGGGCUCAGGCGUGGGCAGGCCCAGAUCCUGUGCGUCCUGUUCUUGGUGCCUCCCACCUCUUUCCCCUUGACACCCACCUCACCCUGGUCCAAAGAAGCCCCAAGACCCCCACCGUGGCCCUGCCCUGACAGGUGGAGGAGCUCUGAGCCUCCUGUGGGAGAGAGAGCUUAGCUUGGGCCAAGGAACCUGUACCCGUGGAGGACAGUGGGCAAGCCACUCUGCCCUAAGCGGGGAGGCUAUUUUGGGUUCAGAACCAGGCUGGAUGAAUUCUGUUCUUCUGCCGGCAGCCCUGGGAGCUCCAUCUGCUCCAGGGAACAGGUUGAGAGCUUCAUCAGAUGGUCCUUAAAACCCAGGCCCUCUGCGGAGGCCUGCCUGGGCCUGAGCCACUUCUGACCACGUCCUCCUGAGGAUAGAGGCCAUUUCUUUUACUGUCUCCCGUCUCUGAAGAGAAGGAGGAAGUAAAAGUUGAAAAACAGCAGGAAUGAAGUCAGUGGCAAAACCAGCCGGUGCCACUGAUGACCAGGCCUGAGGUUAAAAGAUUAACCCCCACUCUAACCACAAGUGCUCUCAAUCUAUCAUGACCCUUUCACGUGGAACCCCUUAGAGUUGUAAGCCCUUAAAAGGGCCAGGAACGCUGCCUUCGGGGGGAGCUCGGUUCUUGAGAUAAGUGACAGGAUCCUCUCAGAGGAUGUGGCCAGCAGGCGGUGGAACAGGGAUUUUGACAUGAGCUGUGACUCCCAGACGCCGUGCAGUUGACUGGGCUGCCAUCCGGAGCUUCCCUGGGGCCAGGAACUGCCUCGCAGGCCUGACGGGAUUCAGAUAUGCACCAAUGCACACUUUGGAGGAGAGCAGGUCCAGCCUCUCCAGUUGGGCUGCAGUGGCGUUUGACCCUUCCCAUCAGUCUGGCUGCCUGGAGGAAUGGUGCAGGACCCUGAGCCUGAUCCUUCGCCUGGCCAGCUGCCCCGCAUGUGCUGUCCUGGAGCACCUCCCAAAACGUCAUUCACACACUGCUGUGGUCCUGGCUGCCACCCACCUUUCUCCUUUCUAAUGUAAGUGUUUCGAGCCACACGUUUCCCUCCAAGCACUGUUUAACUGUAUCCAGAGAUUUUGACAGGUUGUAUUUUCACUACCAUUCAAUUCGAAAGACUUUGUAAUUCUUCUUGUUAUUUCUGCUUUGACCUGUGGAAUUUUCAGAAGUAUUCUGUUUGACUUCCAAAUAUUUGGGGGAUAUCCAGACAUCUUUAUGUGAUUUAUUUCUCCUUUGAUUCCAUGGCGGUCAGAGGAUAUUCUUGGUAUAAUUUCCAGCCAUUUAAAAUGUAUUGAGACUUGUUUUAUGAUCCAGCAUGGAAAUAAUGUGUCAUCUGCAGUGGGAGAUGAAAUAUUGUGUAAAUGUCAAUUCGGUCAAGCUGGUUG